rnacentral:piRNA from 1 species
ACUGUUGCAGGAUAGUCAUUGCUAUUGUCA